rnacentral:snoRNA from 1 species
UGUAUCUUUUAGUAUGUGGACAAUCACUUAUAGACAGGUUCAACAUAACCUCUUGAAACCCAGAACUCAUUGUUCAGUAUGAGUCUUGAUACAUGUAAGAAGGGACU